GCAAAGUGGUAUGAUUAUCUAAUUGUAUAUUUUGAUCUUUACAGGUAGUUUCAUUAGAAUGCAUGAGAACGGUAAUUCCACAAAAAAAAAUUAAAAAACCCAUACGAUACUGCGGAAACAAUUGAAUUGUACGUUUUGCCUAAUACCGAAAUCACCAUAAAGAAUAUCAAAUUUGAAGAUAAAACUGUAGAAAAGGAAAGCAUUGGAAAGUUGAAAGAGGUUGACAUCAAAGAUGUUUACAACCAUGAAAAGCAGUGUUAUAUAAAAGACUACUUAAAACAAAAAUUAAAAAAACUCACAUCUUAUGGAUCAAGUUUUCUUGUCGGAUUACUUGUUCAAGACGAUCACAAGAUUUCCGUAAGAAUUUCACGAUGUGACGAAGAUAAAAACUACGAUAAGGGUACUUACCUCAAAAUUAUGGGAAGUAUCUUGCAACAAUCCCAAGAUGUGUCCCAGUUCGUAACGCGAAGCUUCGACGAUAUCGAGCAUGUAAAGUCUAUCACAGCUAAGACUGACGAUGAAUUGAGAGCUAUGGGGUACCGUACUCCCAAACGUGAGUCAGGAACCAUUGAUGGAGAAGUUUACAAGAAAGGACCCUUCGAUUAAGCAUGAAGAUAAUCUUUAAGUUACAAUAAUUUUUUUUUUAUUCUUUAAUUCUUUGAUAAUUACUAUUCAAUUACUACAUUUCAAUACAUAUAUAAUAAUGUUAUAGUUCGUGAUACUAAUUUGUAAGAAGAUUGGUAGAGUGAGUAAAAUGUUGUGAAUUGCCACGUUAACGUAAGUUUUACUAUAAAAUUAUUUAGUUUUUACCUAAUAUUAUGAUGAUCCGUGAUACUAAUUUGUAAGAGGAUUGACUGAGUGAUACGUCUUAAAAUUUGUGAACAAUCCAUAAAUUUAUAAGUUUAAUCGUAGGUAUGAACU